UACGUAGGGUGCAAGCGUUAAUCGGAAUUACUGGGCGUAAAGCGUGCGCAGGCGGUUGUGCAAGACGGAUGUGAAAUCCCCGGGCUUAACCUGGGAACUGCAUUGGUGACUGCAUUGCUGGAGUAUGGCAGAGGGGGGUGGAAUUCCACGUGUAGCAGUGAAAUGCGUAGAGAUGUGGAGGAACACCGAUGGCGAAGGCAGCCCCCUGGGCCAAUACUGACGCUCAUGCACGAAAGCGUGGGGAGCAAACAGG
rnacentral:rRNA from 1 species